GGGUUCCACCGUUGGUCGGGCAAUUGUCUGUACUGGCGUGUGGAAUUUCUACCUUCUGGGGAACCAUCAUGUUAUUAAUUUAGUGUGGUGGGAAACCAGGACCUUUACCUUGAAAAAAUUAGAGUGUUCAAAGCAGGCUUACGUCUGAAUACAUUAGCAUGGAAUAAUAAAAUAGGACGGUGGUCCUGUUUUGUUGGUUUCUGAAUCACCGUA
rnacentral:rRNA from 1 species